rnacentral:tRNA from 1 species
CAAUUUAAAGCUUAUUUAGUAAAGUAUUUCAUUUACAUUGAGAAGAUUUUUGUGCAAUUCAAUAUAAAUUGA